rnacentral:tRNA from 1 species
UCCCUUGUAGUUUAAGAAAAAUUUUAGUUUUGUAAGUUAAAGAUGACAUUCCAAGGGAG